UGAAGUGAGCUUCUGCUUAUCAAUGGGAAUUCAAUACUUAUUAGCAGAUUAAUUAAAGAGAUAGAUGUAGGAAUUUAAUCUACACUAUGAUUGCCACUUUUUCAUUAGGUACUUUUGAUUAUUAAAUCAAUUCAAGUUAAGUAAGUAUUAUUUCUACGUUCGCAAUGAUUUGUAUUCCCCUGUAAUGAUAAGUUAUACUUUUCUGUUUGAGUUGAAAUUAUUUCCUACCUCUGUUUUUAUAUUGCAACGAUAUCAUGUAAGGUACUGCGUUUGUGGGACGUUCCUGUAAUGAAAAUAGUAUUUCCAGUGAUUCCUUUUCUAGAUCUACAGUAGAUAACCAAACUCAUGAUUUUGAAAGAGGGAUGGUAGUAUAAAUGGAGGAAUGUCGCAUUAAUCAAAGUCGAUCUAAAGUGAUUUAAUGCAAUCUCUUUGUCUGCGAGGAAGUCAAUGUUGUAACCUGUUGACACCUAUUUAGAAAACAGAAGAUGAGCGUUCUAAGAAAAGCACCCAAGGCCGAAGCGUCUCAAAUUUAUAUCUACAGUAAAAAGCAGUUCGAUCUAAUUUAUCAUGAUAUAGUCAUCUGAUGUGCAGAAGUCCUAUCCAUAAUAAUUCGGUACCGCCAUGAAGAUUACUUGAAGUCCUCAGAUUUUGAAAAACCUUUUCAAUAAAGAUGAUCUACUUGCUUGCCCCAACUUCGUGCCAUUUCUUGGAAAUGGCAUGGCAUAAAGAUAAUAUGUAUAGUUCGUAUAACAUCUCAAUUAAUCAGUCACCAUAUCGCCCAGAAUAUCUAAAAUGAACGUUCUGAUACGCAGUAAUGAAUAAUAAUGCGGCCAUGAAUUAUAUUCAUUUUGCAUUCAUUAGUAUAGGUAUCUACAUAUGUUACAAUUUGGCCUUUUGAUGAUGAAACAGAAGUCACCUAUAGGAUUCUGAGAUUGGGAAACAGAAAGCAAAGCUCACUAGUCAAUUGGUCUAUGAACUGUAACGAGAAUGGAGACCUAGGCAUCUACAGUUAGUAGCGAAGGAGCAAUACUGCCUUACAGAGUGGAAACUCAUAAAAGGAAUAUACUUAAAUGUAUCUAAGAAUAUCCAAAAAUGUCACGGCAGUUGUUUAUGAAGUCCAAUGAGAAAUGUCACCUUCCUACGUACUAGGAUUAUUUACCUACUUGGUUCAGCGGAAGUAAAAAGACUGAAAACAAAGCAUAAGUUAUUCUUCGAAAAAUUUCUCAUCUUUUUUUGCAUGGAAGAAGCAGAAACAUGGCCACCGAACUAUAAUAUCGAGAAUAUGAGACGUAAACGGUAAAAGCAUCUACAGCAGUGAGUACAGCCAGGCGAAAAGCAGCCGUGAAACUGUUCGAAAAUUGUUGAACUAUAGAGAAUUAUCAUGGCUGAGUUGGAUUUUUUUUUUACUGGUACGACGGAUACAACUUUGGGAAUUCAACUGGCCGAAACUUCAACGAAAUGUACAAAUACUAUUCAUAAUUUGUGCCAUAGCGCGUUUCAACUAUAGGAAAGGAAUGAAUACUCCAUAUGGUAAUCAACGAGUGGACAAAAACCUCCAGCAUAACGAAAAUGUUGCAGCAGUUGUUGAAAGCCGUUAAACUGUUCGAAAAUUGUUGAACUGAGAUAGAUUUUUUUUACUGGUACGACGGAUACAACUUUGGGUAUUCAACUGGCCGAAAUUUCAACAAAAAGCACAAAUACAAUCCAUAAUUUAUGCCAUAGCGCGUUUCAACUAUAGGAAAGGUUUAACUGCUAAACUGCCCAAUAAUGAAUGAAUGGACAAGAACCUCCAGCAUAACGAAAAUGUCGCAGCAGUUGUUGAAGGAAAAGUCUGUUUCUAAAUAGGUUUCUUUGUUGACGAUGAACGCGCCAAGAUCAAAAAAUGGAAAUAGUGCACGCAUUUCUUUUUUUUUUUUUCGUUUCAGAAAUAUGUACGUUCAUUGUUUCAAGUUUUUUCUUCAAUUGAAGAGUAAGUGAUUUGCGUUUCCACGUGGAAAAAGGCAACAAGUUUGGGGAUGUAAUGCAAAAUUACUGUAUUACCUCCCUAGAGUGGAAACUUUUUGUUCAUUUUUCUCGACAUGGAAACACAAAUUACUUAGAGGUCACGUUGGGAAAUGAGCUCUUCAAUAUUAUAAUAUUUAUUUUAUUCAUUGUGAAACAUGUUUAGGCGAAACAAUACUGUAGUUGAUAAAAUACUUGCAUACUUACUUACAUAUGUAUGUAAAUUGAACAUAAAUUUUAUUUAUACGAGUA